UACGUAGGUGGCAAGCGUUGUCCGGAUUUAUUGGGUUUAAAGGGUGCGUAGGCGGCCCUGUAAGUCAGUGGUGAAAUACUCCAGCUUAACUGGAGGGGUGCCAUUGAUACUGCAGGGCUUGAGUACAGAUGAAGUAGGCGGAAUUGACGGUGUAGCGGUGAAAUGCAUAGAUAUCGGAAGGAACAUCAGUGGCGAAAGCGGCUUCCUGGACCAGUACCGACGUUCAGGCACGAAAGCGUGGGGAGCAAACAGG
rnacentral:rRNA from 1 species